GACGUAGGGUGCAAGCGUUGUCCGGAUUUACUGGGCGUAAAGAGCGCGUAGGCGGCUCGUUAAGUGAGAAGUGAAAGCUCUGGGCUCAACCCAGAAACUGCUUUUCAUACUGGCAAGCUGGAGUGAUGCAGAGGUGGAUAGAAUUCCCGGUGUAGCGGUGAAAUGCGUUGAUAUCGGGAGGAAUACCCGUGGCGAAGGCGGUCCACUGGGCAGCAACUGACGCUGAGGCGCGAAAGCGUGGGUAGCAAACAGG
rnacentral:rRNA from 1 species